CACGUAGUUAGCCGGUGCUUCUUUACCCAUUACCGUCACUCACGCUUCGUCACAGGCGAAAGCGGUUUACAACCCGAAGGCCGUCAUCCCGCACGCGGCGUUGCUGCAUCAGGCUUCCGCCCAUUGUGCAAUAUUCCCCACUACUGCCUCCCGUAGGAGUCUGGGCCGUAUCUCAGUCCCAAUGUGGCCGGUCACCCUCUCAGGCCGGCUACCCGUCAAAGCCUUGGUAAGCCACUACCCCACCAACAAGCUGAUAAGCCGCGAGUCCAUCCCCAACCGCCGAAACUUUCCAACCCCACCAUGCAGCAGGAGCUCCUAUCCGGUAUUAGCCCCAGUUUCCCUGAAGUUAUCCCAAAGUCAAGGGCAGGUUACUCACGUGUUACUCACCCGUUCGCCACUCGAGCACCCCACAAAAGCAGGGCCUUUCCGUUCGACUUGCAUGUGUUAAGCACGCCGCCAGCGUUCGUCCUGUAGCCACGGAGUCAAACUACU
rnacentral:rRNA from 1 species